rnacentral:tRNA from 1 species
GCCGGGAUCGCAUAACCUGGUAGUGCGCGGGUCUUGAAAACCCGUUUCCUAACGGAUAUAUGGGUUCAAAUCCCAUUCCCGGCG